CGACUCAGACUAGCCAUGCACGUCUAAGUACAAACUAAAUGAUGGUGAAACUGCAAAUGGCUCAUUACAACGGUUAUGAUGUACCCGGGAGUUCCGAUGGAUAUUUCCAGUAACACUAGAACUAAUACAUGUCCCUGCGUUUAUUAGUUUCGCACAGUCCGUCGCUGAGUCAUGGUAAACAGUUGAUCGACUCGACGUCCCGGAACAGUUUCCGCCCCAUCAGCUUCGAUGGUUGGGUAUUGGCCUACCAUUGCAACAACGGGUAACGAGGAAUUAGGGUUUGAUUUCGGAGAGGGAGCCUGAGAAACGGCUACCACAUCUACGGAUAGCAGCAGGCGCGCAAAUUACCCAAUGCAGACACUGUGAGGUAGUGACGAGAAAUAAUAAAGCGGGACUUCUGUUUCGCUAUUAUAAUGAGGAAUAACCAAAGGUCAUUCCGAUUAGCAACUGAUGGGAAAGUCUGGUGCCAGCAGCCGCGGUAAUACCAGCGUCAGUAGCAU
rnacentral:rRNA from 1 species